GACGAACGCUGGCGGCGUGCUUAACACAUGCAAGUCGAACGGAAAGGCCCUGCUUUUGUGGGGUGCUCGAGUGGCGAACGGGUGAGUAACACGUGAGUAACCUGCCCUUGACUUUGGGAUAACUUCAGGAAACUGGGGCUAAUACCGGAUAGGAGCUCCUGCUGCAUGGGGGGGGUUGGAAAGUUUCGGCGGUUGGGGCUGGACUCGCGGCUUACCAGCUUGUUGGUGGGGUAGGCGCUGCCCAAGGCUUUGACGGGUAGCCGGCCUGAGAGGGUGGCCGGCCUCCAUGGGCCUGCGAUACGGCCCAGUCUCCUACGUUGGGCAAUGGUGGGAAAUAUUGCCCAAUGGGCCCGCGCGUGAUGCGACGGCGCCCCGUGCGGAAUGCCGGCCUUCGGGUUGUGAACCGCUUUCGCCUGAGACGAAGCGUGCGUGACGGUACUGAGUAAAGAAGCACCGGCUAACUACGUG
rnacentral:rRNA from 1 species